rnacentral:rRNA from 1 species
AUUGAACGCUGGCGGCAUGCCUUACACAUGCAAGUCGAACGGCAGCGCGGGGCAACCUGGCGGCGAGUGGCGAACGGGUGAGUAAUAUAUCGGAACGUGCCCUGGAGUGGGGGAGUAACGCAGCGAAAGUUGCGCUAAUACCGCAUACGAUCUAAGGAUGAAAGCAGGGACCGGCAAGGCCUUGUGCUCCUGGAGCGGCCGAUAUCUGAUUAGCUAG